rnacentral:lncRNA from 1 species
AGAGCGAGGCUACUAUGCUAUCAGAAGCACGGAGCCUUCCGUGCUUCCAGCUCGUUUUCGAUGUUGCGACUUUCGAAUCGUCGAUCGGCUCCGUUAAACUUGAUCUAGAGUAUUUGGAGUACCUAGAAAAUAAAUUUUAUUAUUUUUCGAUAUCAUUUGCCUAGUGAUCGAAUGAGCUCAAAAUCAACAAAUUUCAAUGGCCGUAGUGAGCCGUUUGCAAGUUUAACGAUGUAGAAAUAUCCAAAUCACGUGAAAUUUUAAUAGAAAAUUCUUUAUACUAUAUAAAACAAGAUCAAUAUCUUUGAUUUAAAAUUUUAAUGUCAUACUAUUACAUUUUGUAAGAUUUUUAUUUUCAGCCGUUGAUUUUGAGCCCCUUCGUUCACUAGGCAAAUGAUAUCGUAAAAUCAUAAAAUUUAUUUUCUAUAUACUUCAAAUACUCUAGAUCAAGUUUAACGGAGCCGAUCGACAAUUCGAAAGUCGCAACAUCGAAAACGAGCUGGAAGCACAGAAGGCUCCGUGCUUUCGAUAGCAUAGUAGCCUCACUCUAAUUUUAAAU